rnacentral:rRNA from 1 species
UACGGAGGGGGCGAGCGUUAUUCGGAAUUAUUGGGCGUAAAGGGCGCGUAGGCGGCUUGGUAAGUCAAAGGUGAAAUCCCUCGGCUCAACUGAGGAAUUGCCUUUGAAACUGCCUGGCUCGAGGCCGGGAGGGGGUAGCGGAAUUCCCAGUGUAGCGGUGAAAUGCGUAGAUAUCAGGAGGAACACCAGUGGCGAAGGCGGCUUUCUGGACGAUAACUGACGCUGAGGAGCGAAAGCGUGGGGAGCGAACAGG